GUUGGGUAGGGGAGCGUUCUGUAAGCCUGUGAAGGUGGCCUGUGAGGGUUGCUGGAGGUAUCAGAAGUGCGAAUGCUGACAUAAGUAACGAUAAAGCGGGUGAAAAGCCCGCUCGCCGGAAGACCAAGGGUUCCUGUCCAACGUUAAUCGGGGCAGGGUGAGUCGACCCCUAAGGCGAGGCCGAAAGGCGUAGUCGAUGGGAAACGGGUUAAUAUUCCCGUACUUGGUGUUACUGCGAAGGGGGGACGGAGAAGGCUAUGUUGGCCGGGCGACGGUUGUCCCGGUUUAAGCGUGUAGGCUGGUUUUCCAGGCAAAUCCGGAAAAUCAAGGCUGAGGCGUGACGACGAGGCACUACGGUGCUGAAGCAACAAAUGCCCUGCUUCCAGGAAAAGCCUCUAAGCAUCAGGUAACAUCAAAUCGUACCCCAAACCGACACAGGUGGUCAGGUAGAGAAUACCAAGGCGCUUGAGAGAACUCGGGUGAAGGAACUAGGCAAAAUGGUGCCGUAACUUCGGGAGAAGGCACGCUGACACGUAGGUGAAGUGAUUUACUCAUGGAGCUGAAGUCAGUCGAAGAUACCAGCUGGCUGCAACUGUUUAUUAAAAACACAGCACUGUGCAAACACGAAAGUGGACGUAUACGGUGUGACGCCUGCCCGGUGCCGGAAGGUUAAUUGAUGGGGUCAGCGCAAGCGAAGCUCCUGAUCGAAGCCCCGGUAAACGGCGGCCGUAACUAUAACGGUCCUAAGGUAGCGAAAUUCCUUGUCGGGUAAGUUCCGACCUGCACGAAUGGCGUAAUGAUGGCCAGGCUGUCUCCACCCGAGACUCAGUGAAAUUGAACUCGCUGUGAAGAUGCAGUGUACCCGCGGCAAGACGGAAAGACCCCGUGAACCUUUACUAUAGCUUGACACUGAACAUUGAGCCUUGAUGUGUAGGAUAGGUGGGAGGCUUUGAAGUGUGGACGCCAGUCUGCAUGGAGCCGACCUUGAAAUACCACCCUUUAAUGUUUGAUGUUCUAACGUGGACCCGUGAUCCGGGUUGCGGACAGUGUCUGGUGGGUAGUUUGACUGGGGCGGUCUCCUCCUAAAGAGUAACGGAGGAGCACGAAGGUUGGCUAAUCCUGGUCGGACAUCAGGAGGUUAGUGCAAUGGCAUAAGCCAGCUUGACUGCGAGCGUGACGGCGCGAGCAGGUGCGAAAGCAGGUCAUAGUGAUCCGGUGGUUCUGAAUGGAAGGGCCAUCGCUCAACGGAUAAAAGGUACUCCGGGGAUAACAGGCUGAUACCGCCCAAGAGUUCAUAUCGACGGCGGUGUUUGGCACCUCGAUGUCGGCUCAUCACAUCCUGGGGCUGAAGUAGGUCCCAAGGGUAUGGCUGUUCGCCAUUUAAAGUGGUACGCGAGCUGGGUUUAGAACGUCGUGAGACAGUUCGGUCCCUAUCUGCCGUGGGCGCUGGAGAACUGAGGGGGGCUGCUCCUAGUACGAGAGGACCGGAGUGGACGCAUCACUGGUGUUCGGGUUGUCAUGCCAAUGGCACUGCCCGGUAGCUAAAUGCGGAAGAGAUAAGUGCUGAAAGCAUCUAAGCACGAAACUUGCCCCGAGAUGAGUUCUCCCUGAGACUUAGAGUCUCCUGAAGGAACGUUGAAGACGACGACGUUGAUAGGCCGGGUGUGUAAGCGCAGCGAUGCGUUGAGCUAACCGGUACUAAUGAACCGUGAGGCUUAACCUUACAACGCCGAAG
rnacentral:rRNA from 1 species